rnacentral:rRNA from 1 species
ACAGUGCUGCAUGGCUGUCGUCAGCUCGUGUCGUGAGAUGUUGGUUAAGUCCCGCAACGAGCGCAACCCUUGUCUUUAGUUGCCAUCAUUAAGUUGGGCACUCUAAAGAGACUGCCGGUGGUCAAACCGAAGGAAGGUGGGGAUGACGUCAAGUCCUCAUGGCCUUUAUGACCAGGGCUACACACGUACUACAAUGGCAGGUACAAAGGGCAGCCACUUAGCGAUAAGGCGCGAAUCCCAUAAAACCUGUCUCAGUCCGGAUUGGAGUCUGCAACUCGACUCCAUGAAGUUGGAAUCGCUAGUAAUCGCAGAUCAGCACGCUGCGGUGAAUACGUUCCCGGGCCUU